rnacentral:lncRNA from 1 species
UAUGAUUAAUCAACCUGCAAAAAAAGAAAAAAAGAAAGUGUGAGGUGGUUGAUGUCUACGACAACUACUCUAACGUUGAAAUUAGUAAGUUAAAGAGAAGGGCGAGCGUAAUAUAAUACUUAAAACUCUAGUAUAAUUAUGUAAGAAUUGCGUACUUUUAUCUAUGUGAUCAUUAGUUUUUAAACUGUAAGAGAAGGGAGUUGAUUAUAGUAUUCCCUGGAAAUCUGGUGGGUGCCAAUUAAUUGAUAAGGGAGCCUACCGCCUAAUUGGCUGGAAAUUCCAUGAUUACAGGCGUAAUAAGAAUCUGUUGGAUUGUGUCUGCUAAUGAUAACUUUAUGAGAAGACUCGUCCUCUUUAGGAGAGGGCGAGUCUUAAUAAAGAACCGAGUAGUGUAGUGUUUGGGUCUUCCUUUCCACUAGUGGGACCACGUCGACUUAUCAGACUCUUGUUACGUGGUCCUGUCUUAUGAUGACAGCUCAUAACUUACUUUAGGCGAUUAGUGUAUUAUAUCAGAGGUUCCCCGCUGGUUUUUGAUUCUUCAGAUUCGAAGGUGACAGCUGCCUUGACGAUCCGGGACAUGUGGCCUAUUUAGACUGACCUUCCAUGAUAAUUACCAUGUGACAUUUCUGGAUUGGCUCUUCUUACUCGCGUUGCUUCACCUGAUCAUAGAUGAUGAUUACCUUAUUUUUUACCAAGUAUAUUAGGAUCGGUACUCGACUAUAGUCGAAACUCUUCAUCCAUUAUUUUCACUGAUCAAUGGCCGAAUUAAAUAUAAAUCACUUAGUCAAUUUUGUUAACGGGUUAACAUCUGGUCCUCGACUUUGGCAAAUAUCCACUUUGUGGUCUUGGCAUAAAAAAUACCUUCAAACUUUUGUUUAUCGGGACUAACACUCGAAUAUGUGCCUGGCAGAUUUCCACCUUGUGGCUCGCCUGGCGGAUUCCUGCCUUGUGGCAUUGGCAUAAAAUGCGUUAGUUGAUCGAGAUUAACACUCGAAUAUGUGCCUGGCGAGUUCCCGCCUUAUGACUCUCCUAGCAAAUACUCGCCUUGUGGCAUUGAAACUUUUGUUUAUCGGGACUAACACCUGGCCAUGUGCUUGGUGAAUUUUCACUUUGUGGUGUUGGCAUAAAAUGCCUUAGUUGAUAGGGACUAGCAUCCCCAUAUGUGCCUGGCGGGUUUCCAUCUUGUGGCUCGCCUAGCGGAUAUCUGCCUUGUGGCGUUGACAUAAAAUGCCUCAGUUGAUCGGGACUAACACUCGAAUAUGUGCCGAACAGGUUCUCGCCUGGUGGCUUGCCUAGCGAAUACUGACCUUGUGGCUCGCCAUAAAAUUCCUUAGUUGAUUGGGACUAACACCGGGAUAUAUGCAUAACGGGUUCCUGCCUUGUGGCUUGCCUAGCAAAUACCCGCCUUGUGGCUCACCAUAAAAUUCCUUAGUUGAUUGGGACUAACACGCGGAUAUGUGCAUGGCGGAUUCCUGCCUUGUGGCUUGCCUGGCGGAUAUUCACCUUAUGACUUUGAAACUUUUGUUUAUCGGGGUUAACACCUGAUCAUGUACGUGGCGGUUUCCUGCCUUGUAGCUUACCUGUGGAUGCCUGCUUUGUGCAUUGAAACUUUUGUUUAUCGGGACUAACGCCUAGUUAUGUGCCUGGCAGAUUCCUGCCUUGUGACUCGCCUUGCAGAUACCCGCUUUGUGGCAUUGAAACUUUUAUUUAUCGGAACUAACACUUGGUCGUAUGCCUGGCAGAUUCCCGUCUUGUGGCCUUAAAACUUUUGUUUAUCGGGAAUAAUACCCGUUCAUGUGCCUGGCGGGUUUCCGCCUUGUGGCUCGCUUGGCGGAUACUUGAUUUAUGGUCUUGAAACUUUUAUUUAUCGGGACUAACACUCCGUCAUGUGCCUAGCAGAAUCCCGUCUUGUGGCCCGCUUGGCAGAUUCCCGCCCUGUGGCGUCGGUUCUUUAUCUUUGCACUCUCGUCCUUUUAUCCUCUUUCAAUGCUUAGACUUCAUCAUUCAGCCUGAUGUACUUCUAGACUUUGUCCAUUAGCUGUUGUUACAUAGCAGCUGGGUUCUUGAUUAUGAAAUUUAUGAACUUGACAUUUUGUGUUCCUUAAUUUCUUUAAUACUUCGCAUGCUAUCUCAUGGUUUAAUUUCUCCACCUGUAUUGCUUCUGCAUUAAAUCGUGAGAUAAAUCUCCUUAAAGACUCGCCCUCUCAUUAGCGGAUCUUUCGCAAGUCAGAUGAGAGUUUUUGAAAAGGUAUACAAGUGAUAAACCUAGACUUAAAUAACAUAGCAAAUUAUAUAAAAUUUUUGAAUUAAACUUGGAUUCAGAUUUUGAUACCAUUUUUGAGCCAAACCUAUGAAUGUCAAUGGAAACACUCAAUAUAAUAUGAAGUCAUUGAAAUCUUGAAGCUGCAUGGUUGUCUUAAAUAUUGUCAGGUAACUUUUGAGAUCUACUGUUCCGUCAUAUAUGUUUAAACUUGGCAGCUUGAGCUUAGUUGGGAAGGUUUAUGCUAAGAUUUCUUCUGAUAGGGGCGAGGUAUCAUCCACGGCAUAGUCCUCCUCCUACUUUUUUUAGUACCUUUGAACAACCCUCACCUGUUUCCAGUCAAUAUCCUUAGGAGCUUCGUCUGAUGACUCUUCUUCCGUGAACUCGGCCUUCUCUUUGGACCGCAUCUGGAUCUCUUCUGUCCAAGUCCUUAGGGUAUCAACGAAGGUUUCCUCCCUUUUCCUGAGAGCCAUGAACAACGCCUUCCCCCAAACUUUGUAUUGCUCAAUAGUAGCAUGCAAUCUUUUAAUGUAUUGGAGCAUUUGUUCAUUAUUUAGAUUGUUGAGAUCUGCUUCAUUGAUCAUAGAAGGUGUGUUUUGUCCACUACCAAGAGUGGAAGAAAUGAUAGUGCUCUAAUUGGUAGCAACCUCAGCAGCAACUCAUAAAGUAUUGAUCAUUUCGAGAGAGAGAAAAUAAAGAUUUCCUUUUAAGAGAAAGGGAAUAAGAGACCGGUUUUAAUCCAGAGAAUUCAAUGGAUUUUUCGGGAAUGGAACCAAAUGAUGUGUCUGAAACAAAACUAUGAUGUGAUUGGUCAACCUACAAAAAAGAGAGUGUGAGGUGAUUGACGCCUACGAAAGUCACUCUGACUCUUAAGUCAGUAAAUUGAAGAGAAGGACAAGUGUAAUGUAAUGCUUAGAACUCUAGUGUAACUGUAUAAGAAUUGUAUACUUUUGUCUCUAUGAUCAUUAGCUUUUAUACCGUAAAAGGGGGGAAUUAUUUAUAACAUUCCUUGAAAAUCUAAAGGAUGCCGGCUAAUUGAUAAGGGAGUCCACCGGGUAAUUGGUCGAAAAUCCCAUGAUUACAAGUGUAAUAGAGAUUUGCUGGAUUGUACCUGACGGUAAGUUUAUGUGAAGACUUGUCCUCUCUUCAGGGUAAGUCUUGAUAAAGAACUGAAUGCUAUGGUGCACAGUGUACAGAUCUUCUUUUCUAUUGGUGAGACCGCAUAUAACUUAUUAGAUUUUUUCCACAUGACCCUAUCUUAUGAUCACAACUCAUCUUUUAUUUCGAGCGAUUACUGUAUUUCAUCAAUUACCUAAAUAAUAUCUGAACCCAUUUAAUUUUAUAUUUUUAAAUUAAUAAUUAAUAUAAAAAUAUAAUUUUUAUUAGUAAUUUUCAUUUUUAAAAAAUUUAUCUUUUAUAAAAUAUUUAAAUUUUAAUUUAAAUAAUUUUAUAAAAAUAUAUAUUUUAUAUUAAAUUAUUCGUUUAUAUAUAAACGGGUUCAGACAAUACCUAUACACAACCUGAAAACAUCAUGACAAUAAUCUUUCCGUUCUAACUCAAUGACUUUGCUUGGAACGUUAAGACUAGGUUUAUAUAGCUGAUAUUGUAUCCUUCUAGUUCGAUCAUCUCUGAAUGUGUUGGAGGUCAUCACUUCCCUUGAUUCCGUCACAUCCAGUCUACAGAGCGCUAAUAAGUACAAAAUUAAAAGUUAAUACAUACACAAUGUAGUCACCAAGAAUCACCAUAACCUUGAGUAAGGUGCUAAUCAAGUGAGGCUAAUGAAGCAUUUUUAAAAUACCCAUUAUAAUUCUUUGAUUCUGCCUCUGGUCCCAUUUACUAAUAUGAGAUAAUUUCUCAAAUUAUAAGAGAACCUAAUAGCAAACAAACUUUUGAUGCCAACAGUAAGGCAGGGGCACACUUUGAUUCCUGCUUAACAAGUAAUAAAUUCCUAAGCAGGUUCAGAGAAAGUGAGAAACCAAAUCCUCACCAGCAUCAUGAUAACAAAGAGCGAACAUACACAAGAUAGAAGGUUCAGAGAAACCAAAUCCUCACGAACACCAAGAUAAAAGGUAUGGGACACAAUAAAAUAAUUAUCCAUGUAUAACAGUGCAGCAGAAUUUUAGUGACAAAAAAAUAAUCAUUUUGCUAAAUUAGUUGAAGCAUAUCUAAAACAUAUAAACCUUUCUUCUUGGACAUGCCAGAAUGGAGCAAAUUGAAGGAAAAUUGUUCUCCACGAGUAACUUGUUAAGCUCAGUUGCUAUGUUCACACUUUUGGCAAAAAAUAACAACUUGAUUGAAGUCCAUUGCAAACACAUGGAUUCUUUCCCUUGUUCAGCAAAUACAUCCUUUCUCUUGUUCAAACUGGCAGAUAAUAAUAUUCAUAUACCAAAAACCGCAUGCACCAGAUGAAUACAUAAAUGGCAACGACAUGAGUUAGCCUUAACAUUCUCAAAUCCAAGGGACAAAAAGAUGAAAGAAAAUAAAAUAAAAGGAGGAAAUUAUGAGGUUAAUAUAUUAAAUUUGUUACACAACACUAAUUAAAUCUAUGGGAGGGUUUUUACCUAGACCCACCGAAAACUGAGGGAGAGCAACUCACAGCGGCUCGAAACAACGAUGAGACCAUUGGCGGCUGAAAUUAAAUCGAUUGGCUCCACAGCAGCUUUAAAAUGGUCGACGGCAUCGCUAAGGUUGCUCCCUGCUAGUCCAAUGCGAAGCGGUAGGUAGAGAGGAAGUAUUGCGGCGACUCAAGGGAGCUGGGUCCGAUCUAUUGUGAGAGUUGGAAGCGUGGAGUUGGGUGUUGCGCGAGUGAGCUCUAUGGUGAAGCUGUGCUGCUGGAUUCAAUAAAGGGCACUGGUGUCUGCCUAUGGAGGUCGAAUUAUUCAGGUGGUUUGCAGGUGGUUCACAAGUUGAAAAUCGUGAGAUAGGCAGAAAGCAAAAUUAGGGAUUUUGAUUAUAAAAGAGAUUUGAAAUUUUUGAAGUAUAAUGAAAAGAUAAUCUGUGGGUUUUGAUUCUCAGUAGGGCCAUGGAAGUUACCAAUUUCGUUUGCCAAGCAUGCGGAAAUGAGAGAAGAAAUUUGCGAAAAUAAAAGGAGACGCAGAGUGAAAAGAAAUUUGGGAAGUGAAAGUGAAAUAGAUAGAUAAGUUAUUAAUAAGUAGCACUCAGAAUUUUCAC